rfam:Gossypium raimondii Chr02_contig_464, whole genome shotgun sequence.
CACGUUAGCGCGCUUUGCUGACGUGGCAGCAAAUCGCGUUCUAGAGGGCGCGAUUUGUUGCCACAUCAGCAUAGCGCGCUGACGUGG